CAACCACUCGCCAGCUAGACCGAUCAGAUCUAAACCAGAGGACAGCUGGUUGAAGAAUCGAGGAUGGCCUGUAAGAACAAAGAGGUCAAAGGGCAAGAUAUGAAUAAGUUCAGAUGAAGACCCACAGCUACCAAGCCAAAAACACACUCACCUGAAUUGACACCAUACUUGAGUGUGUCUCUACAGUCCACUAGUAUCUGCUCCAAGGUUUCUGGUUGGUCUGUCAGCUGCAGAGUGAAGCCUUCCAGUCCCUCCUUGAGUUGAUGAGGAUGAUGGUAGUCCAGGACCUUCAAACAAGAACAGCUUGAUAUAACCAAGCAAGACAUUUAGAAGCUCCUGUAAAAAUUCUUUGGUCACCUCUUCACCGCCCGAAGCUGGGAGCAGGUCUGUUCACACAAAGACAAACAGUAGUUGCUUAACAUCGGAGGAAUGUUGUUGUUGUUAAUAAAGGACGCAUUGACCCAAGGUCGAUGUGGGCCGCUGUCUGCAAUAACAACAGGCAGUAACUGAACACAGACAGGACGGUUGGACCAGUAACUGCAGUAAUUGAUGAUGAUGAUAACUGUCAAUGUUACCAGGCACACAUUAACAAACCACAAAUCCAAGAAGAGGCACAAAGCUGUGAUUUUCCACUUGUCCAGGUUAAACCUAUCCUUGACCUGGUUCUUCAAAAGCUGAAUGAAGGAAUCUGAAUGAAGUGAAAAAGGAGCAGCUAGGUCAAGGCAGGUGUAGAUAAUUGUACCUGGUUCACAGUGUUGUUUAAACUGAACAUACAUGGA